rnacentral:lncRNA from 1 species
UUCAUUCUUUUCUGCCUUGAUUCUCUGAUUCAAGGAGGGUUCUAAGCUUGUAGGAACCUCCAUUCAGUCCCUUGGACCAUUCGUAAGUAUUCUUUCGUGUUUAGUUAAAUAUUUAGCGGUUAUAGCUGAAAGGUCAAGCGGUUCGAUAAACGCUUUAACUUUUAAACGGCUAAGCCAUGGUUCGCAACGAACAUGGCUACGUGACCGUAAUUAGGUAGGUAAUUAACCCUUAAAAGGGCGCCUCCUAAUUACCACGUUUACUUAGUUUAGUUGUCGGGUCAAAUGAAAGUCAAACGGGUUAGUUUUAAAUAAAAUGCAUAACUAUUAAAUUAAAAGUCAUAAAAUCAGUUUUGCCACAUUAAUAACUUGGUAAAUACUAGUUGAACAUGCCUAAGCAUGUUCAACCCGACAAUUUUAAGUGUAGACUCGGUUCGAAACCGAAAGUCGCAAAAGUUGACUUUUGCUUUGACUUUCAGUUCUGACCCGAUUUAGCUUAGUUUAGAUAUGCCUUAGGAUUCCAUUAGGACCGUAUUAUAAGUUAGUAUAACUCUCUAAAGUUAUACAACUUGGUUCCAUAGAAAUCCUAGUUCAUGCUUGUUUCCGUUAAAAGCCUAAAUGUUGACCGUUAUGCCCUUUUGACCUUAAAACGAUAUUUUUGAAAAUAUGAAAGGAUAGAAACCUUCACUACUGAAUUAUAAACUUGUCCCUAAAGUUUGACAUCAGUUUGAGGUCUAGAUUAGAAGUUAUGCUCAAUAUCGUAAUUAGAAAGCCUUUUAUUAAUUAAACGGCGUAAUUAGCAUAUAUCCUAUCUAAGCCCAAUUUUUGAUACCAAACUUUUUACCUACUGAUAUAAAAUAAUAUUUUGGGAUUUUUAAAGAUUUUUAUUUAUUUUUAGGCUGAGCAUAACAUAGGGUUAUAGGCUUGAUUCGGUAAUUGCCGGUUUUGCCCUUUUGGGCUAUAAAAUGAGUUUUACAAAUCCUUUUGACCCCAAACCUUUUUCUACUAAUCUAAAAUGAUAAAUAAAAUAUUUUGAGCCUUCUGGAAUAAUAAAAAUAUCAGCUCUUCUUAGAAAACCCGAAAAUGGCUCUAAAUCGCCUUUUUAAGCAUUUUUAGCGCAUAAGUAUGUACUAGAACCUUUUUAAGCAUAAAGGAUUGAUACCUGCUGAUGUGUUUAGUAAGUUUUUAUACUUUUAACAGUAGGCAAAUAUUUUAAACUCAGAAUUCCAGAAUUGACCUUUUAGGCACAUGUGAAAUUACCAAAAUGCCCCUACGGUGCAUAGUAAGGUUAAAGGUAAUAAAAUUCACCUAGAUUUGAUACCCUACUGUUAUAACUUAGUAAAUUAAGUAUAUUUACUGAUUUAAUCAGACCUGUACUUCAGGUUAUGAUUUAAACCCUUGUACACCCUUUAAAAUGAACAAAAUGCCCUCAUAAGGCAUAAAUUGGGUUUAAAACCAUUUGGGGCAUAAUGGAAGGUAUCAUUCUGAUAUCACAACAUGUUUAAGGCAUAUUAACUUAGGAAACUUGUAUAUGACUCUUAUGGUUACUCGUUACGCACUUUAUGCGUUCGAAUCGGCGUAGGUAACUAGUUUACCCAUUUUAGCCGAAACGGGUCAAACCAUAUCAUUUCAGUCUCAAAAUCCAGAAUGUGAUUAAGUUACCCAUAUUAAACAAGUAUGCAAGCUUGUUGGGUCAAAACCACAUUCUAAAACGGUCUUCGCCUUAUCGUGCGUUUAAACCGUAAUCUUCAUUUAAGAACUAACCGGUCUAGGCUUAGGCCAAAUUAAAGACCCGUUAGAAAUCUAAUAGAUUAUUAAAAACCUUCGUUCCAGAUUUAGGAGCCCAGUAAAAGCUAUCUGUACUUGCUUGGUGGUAUACGGCUGGGAUUAAAUUUAUAUUUAGCUCAGGUAAAUACGUUUAACUUAUUUUCCCUAUACGGGCUUGGGGUACGGUAUAUAAAAUACCGCUUGGUCGGGGAAUUGACCUUAACCGGUCUUGGUUAUGUGCAGUCAAAUUAACCCGUUUGAAAAUGUUGUUUUGUUUGUUUAACGCCUUUGGGGGCUUAAUGACCAUGUCCCGGAUAUCCUUGGCAUCAUUCAAAGAAUGGCCACGACCUUAGCACUCGGGUGUAGGCGUACACCCGUAGUGCUGUACAACAUGUAUAAUCGUCGGUACGAGAGAAGUCUCGCGGCGGAAUUAUAUUAAGUGGUGUGUCUAUUAAUCUUUAACCCGGCACGACCCGGGCUACCGAACGCAGAACGAACAUGUAAUUUUUUUACAAGAUUAUUAAGCAAAUAAUUAUCCCAAGUUAUACAAAGUUUUGUGCCACGGGCAUUUAAAUCAAUUUUAAACAUUUUCAAAAUGAGUCAGUUAAAUUGUAUUUACCAGUGAAAACUGACGUAUUUUCCCAAAAGACUAAGUGCAGGUACUACGCGUAAUAGGCUGGUUUCUCCUAGCAUCAAAUAGAAGUCUCGCAAGCUUAGAUGUUAAAGUCUGUUGAACAAGUUUCCUCUUUAUUUUGAUCCGCCUGUGGAUCUAUUACUUUCCGUUUGUAAUACUUGGAUAUUACUUCAAUUUGGAUUGUAAUAUAUUUAUCUUUUGCUUCCGCUGUGCAUUUAAAUUUGUGUUGUUUGACUAUAAUGAUAUCAACUACGUUACGGUACUCCUCACCGGGCCCACCGGUGACACGUGGAAAAAUAGGGGUUUGACAGUUGUUGUACAUGGUGCUUUGGGUGUAUUUCAAAAAAAAAUGGGGGUCUGCUUGCUCUUCUCCUUUUGAUUGGCUAAUUUGGGAGGUGGUGUAAUCCUCUGCCUACUCAUACGUGUCUUGCUUUUUCUCUCUCCCAGUUCUUGAAAAUAAGUCCGAUUUCAAAGUCUUCAAAUGCCCUUUUUCUUUUGCUUCACAACAUCUGCACACAUAUAGUUAGAGAGAGGGAGAGUGAGCCAGAAGAAAGAUGGCAGUGGCCGACAUGGUGGUGCACGGCGACGACCAUGGCGGCAUGAGGGUGUCUGGCAGUAGCAUCUGCGGCAUGAGGGUGUUUGGCAGUCGCAUGCCGCCGGUUGCUCCUUGGCCGUGGGGUGUGCUCCGGUGACCAAGUUCUCCGCCGGCAGUGAUGCCGCCGGUUGCUCCUCCCCCUUCUGCCUCCGUCUCUGAGAAAUUGUUGAUAUUUAUGGGUGAAAACUUGAUUUAG